rnacentral:misc_RNA from 1 species
UCAUUUAUUGUCUCUGAGUU